rnacentral:lncRNA from 1 species
AAUUCGAUAUGUCUGAAUUGAAGAGCACGCAUGUGUCGUAUCUCUAAAAUAAAGAGAGAAGACAAUCUAAAUAAUAUUUGUUGCUGCUUUAUUUAAUUUCAUUACCACUAUCUUAGAAUACAAGAAAAUACUAUAAUGUUCUUGAAAUUAAAAAAAGAAAUAAAUUCAAAUCAUUAGAUGGCAACAAAAUAGGUAAAUGAUAACUCAUCGACGAAACUGCUCAUCAAAGUUUUCUCUGUAAAAAACAAAUACACAUACACAACUGUUUCCAACACACUCCGCAUUCGAACCAUUGAGACAUGAAACUUCUAGACAAUCAGCAUCAUCUAAACAGUUGACUUUCUCUGUAAUAAAAACAAGAAUAAAAUACACAGGUUUUAGCAAAUUAAUAAAUAUGAAAAAGGUUAAAAACGGAUUACCUCUGGCAUUUAUUGAAAGUUGAAAGAGGGAAAGAAUGAUAAUCAUAACAUAAAUAAACUUCACAACUUUAAUCAUAUUUUUCUCCUUUUCUUGCAAGAAAUGUUUUUAUCAGUUUAAAAUUUAUAAAGCUCGUCCUCCCUUUACAUUAAUGUAAUAGUUUAGUACUUACGAAGUAGGAAAAAAUUGUUUCCUAAACUUAUUAUUAAUAAAUGUCUUUUAAGUACAUCAAUGACUUGUGUUUGUCCUUUUAUCACACCAAGAAAUCAGGCCUCACACAAAAUUUACGAUUCAUAAAAGUCUAUUUUUUGUAUCUUUAAUUAAAUUUUCACUUUUUUAUAACCUAUUAUAAUAGCAAAGGGAAAAUAACAAAAAGAUUACUAAUAGGAAUAACUACAUUUCAAGUGACACUAGUAGAAAGGUGCACGCAAAGGGUUUUUGAAUCAGGUUGAUGAACGAAUAAGAAGAGAACCUUGAUAAAAUAAAAUGAAUAUAACUUUUUUUUUUUUGAAAGAAUAUAACUGUUAUUUACUCCUUGCCUACCGUGAUAUAAUAAAUUUUGAAUUUAGAAAGGUUAUGGCUUGAGCUUAACCAUAGGCGUCUGCAUAAGUUGUUAAAACAUUCACUACAAGAAUAAUAGCAAUUUCCAUGAGUAAUACCCAUGGCAAAUCCAUGGGUUAUUGAAAAUAAAAAACAUAUAAAACUUACCCAUGGCAAAACCAUGAGUAAUAUGUAAACUAAUUUUUUUCCAUGGUAAAACCAUGGGAAAUGUGAAAAUAAAAAUAAAAUUAUCUCUUUAUUGUAGUAAUUUAAAAAUAAAAAAAAUAUAAAACUUACCGACGUUGUCGCUUGGUUUAAAAAUCAAAAAAUUAUAAAACUUACCGACGUUGUCGCUUAGUUUAUUUAACUAGAAUCCUUAGUUUAUUUGUUUAAUUUAAUGGAUCAUUUUAGUUUUACUAUAAUUGUUUGUUUUUAAUUAAAGUUAGCUGAGAUAAACUCAAAGUUAGUUAAGAUACAAAAUUAAUUACAUAGUUUAGUAUGGAUGUUAGCUAUUUUUAAGCAAAGUUUGUUAGUUUGUUUGAUUACUUGAUAAACAAGUAUUGUGAAUAAGUUUGUAUAUAAGUAUGAUAUAAACACACUUUCAUUACCAAUGAAACUUACAAAGUUCACGAUCAAAAUUAUGUUCUUUUCUUCUCUUCUCUCUCAAUAUUGAAGGUGAGAAAAAUACAGGGGGUUGAAUUGUGUUGGUUUUUUCUGAAUGUUUAAUACUGGUCAGAGUCUGACUGCAGCGGAUAAAAUAGAAAAACAAAGAGAAAAGAGAGAUAGAGAGAAAGAGCAGACACAAAAAAUUUUAUACUAGUUCCUCCCACAACACAGGAGUAGUCCAGUCCCUUGCUCUUCCAAGGGAUUUCAUUAUAAUCUCACAUAUUACAAUGGCUUAAGGACUCUUCCAAGAAACUUCUCAAUGCUCAAGCAUUCUUGCAAGAGACUUCUUUGCUCAAGGUCACUACCAAGAGACUUUCAUUGCUCAAAGAAAACUCCAGGAGACUUCUAUUGCUCAAGCACACAAGCAAGAAACUUCCAAUUCUCAAAGGGCACUGAUGGUUCGAUUAGGCAAGUGUACCAAAUCGUUUACCAAAUAAUAAAGUGAUAAGUAGAGUAUCGUAUCCACAUGGAUUGUUGUUUCGUCUAAACAGUUCGCAUUACCUAUUUGGGAAAAAUAAAAUAAAUAAAGAUAUAAGGGUUUAAAGUCUUGCAAUUUAAUCUGCUUGCAUCGACGCAAGGUUACUUGCUUGAUUGAAGAAUGUUACCUAACCAAAGGAAAUAAUCCCUCAAGUAUAAACAACAACUCAAGAAGCUCAGACAUCAAGGAUCUUAAGAAUGGGUCAAGCACAAGGAAAGCUCUGUGACAACCUGGGAAGAACUAGAUGACGUAGAAGCCGACAAAGAUGAAGAAGUAGAAAAUCUAGGAUUGGUGGCCUCAUUAGCCUCUAAUAGUAUAAUUAUAUAAGCUUAUGCCGUUGAAAAAACCAGCUAUUUUUCAACAUUGCAUCGUAAGUUAUUUGGUUCUAAUAUAAUCUGAGGGAUACGUGGAGUUAUGAUUGGUUCUAUAAAAUUUAUAAUUGAUACAAUUUAUGUGGUUCUAUACAAUUUAUAUGUGGUAUAAACCGUUAUGAUAUUUCAUGAGUCUAUGUGGUUCUACACAUUUUAUAUUUUAUAAAACCAACUUAAUACUUAAUGUUUUAUGAGGAUUGGUUACAUCCUCUUUAUUGGUGACGAUUUAAAUAUGAGCAUGGGUGAAGUAGACAUACUAUGUGGUAUGACUUUGACUUAAUAUAGGGAGGCUGAGGACUGGGAGUCUCGUAGCAAUUUCCUUUUCCUUUCCCUAAGAUGGUGUUUUUGGUUUGGAAAUCGAGGUCUGAUUUGUUAGCUUGGAGGAAACAUAUUUUGGCAACCUCAAUGUCUCCGCGCAAUAUGGCGAUGGUGUCAUCUUUUUCAUGCUACUUCAUUUUGAGAUGGGCAGUUGAACAUGCAGCUCUCAGAUUUGACAAUGUUGGUCUCCCUAUCAUGCAAUUGUAGAGAGACAAGCAAUCAAUCACAAGGAACUGAACUUUCACCGUCUUUCUUUCUCUUCCUUGGCCGAAAGUGAUCAGUUUACUCAACAUAACCCCAGGGAUUUGUUGAGGAGCCGUUGAAUCCGUAGUGUUCAGAUCCAUAAGGAGAUAUGUUAUUCUCUAUCAAUAGGAGAGUCUUGAACAUGGUAUAGUACAUGAUGUCGCAAGAUGUCCUAGUGUUGACCAGGAUCCUACGGACAUCAAAGUUAGGAGCUCUGCUAGGGAUCUCGCUCUUAUAGAAGGCAAGGGGUGGUCGUACAUCAACUCGAGUGGGGCGACAACCAAGUGGAUCACAUUCAUCAACUCUUUGAACUUCCUCUUCAUGUUUCCUACUAUAAUGUUGAUUCUCCAUAUAAUCACAUUGAUUGUAAGGAUGUGUUCCCAAGUGCAUGAGUAAGCGUUACCUCAACAUUUUUAGGGAAGUGGAGUCCACCAAUCGAUCCAUCACAAUUAUUAUCUCUGCAUCCUUGUCAGCAAUGCUAUCGACUGGUUCAACGGCUUUCUUUUCAGGCGAGGCAUUUUUUGGUGAUUUUUCUCAACCUACCUUGUUGUGUGAAAAUUUUCAUUGCAUUCUUAAGGUGGAUGCAAUCGUCUGUAGUAUUCCCAUAACACUUGUGGAAAUGGCAGUGUUUACUUUUAUCAUCUCAAAGAUUUUGUGUAAAAGGCUUGGGAUACUUGAUUCUUACUUCCUUCAAGUCGGCGGAAGUGAUCUUAACCGAUAUCUCUUCACUCGACACCUCAAGAGGUGUGUACUUAUCAAAAUAACCAAUGGGUCGUUUUCCUUCUCUAGAGGGUUUGACUUCCUUUUUUUUCUCAUAGAAGGGAUUUUCGGAGGACUUAUGUUGAGGAUCCUCCUUCCUCUCUUUGUUCAAAUUAUCAGUGUACAACUGCCCUUUGUACCUGAUAUAGAACUUUAAAAUCCUUAGGAACUCAUUGAUAGUUCUGGGUUGGUCGAGUUGGACCGCCUUCAUGAUAUUCGUUUUUGGUCGAAGACCCUUCUCGAUCAAGUGUUUUUUCAUCCUUUUGUCCGUUCCUCGGACUUGCACAACUUCUUUGUUGAAACACUCAAUGUAGUCUAGGAAAGGCUCGUUCUUUCCCUGCACAAUAGCCUCAAGGGAAACAAUCGUUUUCAACUGUGUCUUUAAUGUUGAAAAUUUCGCAAUGAACUCAUGGCACAACUCGUCCCAAGAGUCGAUAGAGAUUCUGUUGAGAUUCUUAUACCAGGUCAAGGCUCCUCGUCGCAAAGUAGUCAUAAACAGUUUACACUUGACGGAUCCUCAGACAUUCUUGUAGUUAAGGACCACUUCUAUGUUCUCAAUGUGCUCGCCCAUAUCCGUUGUGCCGUCGUAGGUAUCCAUCUAGGGAGGUUUCUCUAAACAAGUAGGGAUCUAGGUAUCCCUGAUCCUGCGAGUGAAAGGAACGUAUGCCACACAAUCAUCGUUAGAAUAAGACGAGGACCGCGAGAAUCUAAUAUGCCUAUUUGAGCACGGGGAGCUUGAUCUACUGUGACUCAACGAGUGUCUAGGGGAUCUUGGACUCUAUGGGAGUGGGCUCCGUCCCCUUAUGUUACGUUGUGGGGAAGGAGGUUGAGCGUCAUGUAGAGGGGCUAGGGAGCUCUUUUGGGUAACGUUUGGAGAAUGGAGUCGAAGUUUGAUCCUCGAUCAUUUCCUUGAUGCGCCUAUUAUGAUCCUCAAUCAUUUCUGUUUGGCAGUGCAAUGUUUGGAGAAUGUAGUACCGUUAGUCAUCCUGAUGAGUGAUUGUUUUUUGGAUUUUUGUAGUUUUGGUCUUUUGUGAAAGAAAUACAUGGAUAACUAGUUUCCCACAGACGACACCGCUGAUCGUACUUGAGCAGAUGAAUGACGUCUGGUGCAGUUGUUCUGAUCGUACUUGAGAACAAAGUCUUUGAGGCUAUUAGAAAAUUAAAAUGAAAAAGAAAUAUAGUGUAACAAUUAUAACAUAGAUAUAAAAUUAUAGGCAUAUAAUAAAAGAAACUAUUUUUAAACUUAUCUAUUUAAAGUAUUAUAAGCCGUAGGGUAUGAAAGAACAUUUGAUAUGUCUGAAUUGAAGAACAUGCAUGUCGUAUCUCUAAAGUAAAAAGAGAAUAAGACAAUCUAAAUAAUAUUUGUUGCUUCUUUAUUUAAUUUCAUUACCACUAUCUUUGAGUACAAGAAAUAACUCUAAUGUUCUACCACUAAAUGCAUUAACGAAAAUGCUCAUCAAAUUUUCCAAACCGCGGUGGAACACAUAUACAAAUGUUUACAACACACUCCGCUUUCGAACCAAAGACACAUAAAACUUCUAGACAAUCAGCAUCAUCUAAACAGUUGACUUCCUCUGUAAUAAAAACGAGAAUAAAAUACACAGGUUUUAGCAAAUUAAUAAAUAUGAAAAGGGUCUCGUUAACAAGUUCCUCUGAACACUCUUUAAGCAUUCUAAAAUAAGUAACUAUUAUUUAAAAACUCAAAUAUUUUGAUUUACAAAUGCAUUAAUCACACAUAUUUUCAUAAAUACUUACUACUUAUGGUCCUGAAAGGAUGUCUCAGAGACACUUGUUAACAUUUCCCAAUAUGAAAAAG